rnacentral:rRNA from 1 species
UACGUGAGGGGCGAACGUUGUUCGGUGUCACUGGGCUUAAAGGGUGCGUAGGUGGUUGUGUAAGUAACGUGUGAAAUCCCUCGGCUUACCCGGGGAAUUGCAUGUUAUACUGCAUGACUUGAGGACCAAAGGGGGAAAAGGGAACUCCAGGUGUAGCGGUGAAAUGCGCAGAUAUCUGGGGGAAGGCCGGCGGCGAAGGCGCUUUUCUGGUUGGUACCUGACACUGAGGCACGAAAGCGUGGGGAGCAAACAGG